rnacentral:rRNA from 1 species
UACGUAGGGUGCAAGCGUUAAUCGGAAUUACUGGGCGUAAAGCGUGCGCAGGCGGUUUUGUAAGUUUGUCGUGAAAGCCCCGGGCUCAACCUGGGAAUUGCGAUGAAGACUGCAAGGCUUGAAUCUGGCAGAGGGGGGGUAGAAUUCCACGUGUAGCAGUGAAAUGCGUAGAGAUGUGGAGGAACACCGAUGGCGAAGGCAGCCCCCCUGGGGUCAAGAUUGACGCUCAUGCACGAAAAGCGUGGGGGAGCAAACAGG